AAAGCUGUACAUUAUUGUUAUGCAAGUCUCUAAUGUUUUAUCCACCUCCACCCCCACCCAAAUUUCUUCUAGACAAAUCAUUAUAUUUCAUCCCAUAAAUAUAUUCUACAUUUUUCAUCUUUACACGAAGGCAAUACAUAGAAGACAGUGGUGACCAGGGAAGGCUAUUUUGGACUCAGAAAUCACAGAGAAGGCUGAUUCAUUCUCUAAUCUUCACUUGGAUUGACUGAGGAGUUGGAGGAAGUCUGGAGAGAGAACUGAACUUGGUACUUGUCACCUGGGGAAUUGGAUCUAAUGGCAGUUCUUGAAAUCCCCGGGAGCCAAGUACUAUUAUUAGUCACAUUUAACAGCUGAGGAAACUGAAGCCAACAGAGGUGAAGUGACUUGCCCAGGAUCACACAGGUGAUACGUUUCUAAGGUGGGAUAUGAACUCUGUUCCUCCUGACUUCAGACCUAGUGAUCUACAUACUGCAAUUCCUAGCUUCCAUUAUUUAUUAAAAUUGUUAGAAUUUCUUAUACAUCGCAUCUAGAUGCCCUUUUAAUAAUUAAUUGUUUUCUGACAUUUUGUAGUUCAUGUUCUCUCCCUCCCUUUCACAGCAGGUAAUAUAAUAUAGGUUGUACAUGAACUAUCAUGCAAUACAUAUGUCCAAUGUGGGCUUUAAAAUUAAUAUUCAAUAACUAUUAUAUUUUACACAUUUUUAUUAGUAAUAACUAAAAUUUGUAAAAGUUACCUGAAUUCAGUCUGGUCACAGGUCAAAGAGAGGCAGAAGGAGGAGUUACCACCACUUAAAUACAAUUGUGUAAAACCUGAGGACAGAGAAAAAGGGAAAAGGAUUCUAGGUAACAGAAAAGAAUUUUGGGUAAUGUAGUUCUUUUUUUGAGGUCCAAGAAUUUCUAACUAUACACCAUGCUUAUUAUUUUGUGAAGUGAGAUGCAAAUCGUUUAUACU